rnacentral:rRNA from 2 species
CUUGUACACACCGCCCGUCACACCAUGGGAGUGGGUUGCAAAAGAAGUAGGUAGCUUAACCUUCGGGAGGGCGCUUACCACUUUGUGAUUCAUGACUGGGGUGAAGUCGUAACAAGGUAACCGUAGGGGAACCUGCGGUUGGAUCACCUCCUUA